CUUUAUAAAUUAGUUUUUUUGUGUAUUUAAUUCAUUUUUUGUUUGGUAUUUGUGAAAGAGUGUUGUAUUUUUUUAAUAGUGAUAGAAUAAGGUGUUUGUUUGGGUAUAUAAGUUUAGUUCUUUUGCCUUUUGUAUAAUGACUUAGUGAGUAUAAAGAAUGUUUAACUGGUACAGUGAUGUAAGUUGAUUUAUUUUUAGUUGAUAACUUAAUAGUUGAAAUUUUAGGUUUGUAAGAAUAGGAGUGAUAUGUGAAUCGAAACUUAGGAUAGCUAGUUAUUAUUGAUAAAGAGUAAUUUUGUUACGUCGGUUUGAUUUAGGGACAGCUUAAAUCAAUGGAAAUUAUGGGCUUGAAUCUUUGAUAAUUUGUUUUUUAAUUUUAAGUGUUGGUUGGUAUUGUUAUAAGUAGUAAUUAUAAUGCUAAGAUGAGUAUAAGUGUAUUUGAUUUAAUGGUAAGUUGAAAUGUGUUUUAUUUUAAUUUGUGGGAUUGUCUUAUUAAGGAAUUUGGCUGUAGAUUUGUGGGUUUACUAAAGACUUAGUUUAUUGAUGCAGAUAGUAAACAACAUCUGCACAGUGUUUAGAUAGAUGGCGCAAGGGGCUUAAUGUAGCGUAGUAAUUUGACUAUUCCAAUUGUAGUCUAGUGAUAGGUGUCUCAGGUCUUAGUUGUCUCGAUAAGAAAUUUAAAAAUUUUUUUUUGGUGAAAAUACCAAAGUUAAAAAGAAAGAAAAAAAGACCCUGGGUGGUUAAGGUUAAUCAGUUUAAUAUAAGUUGAAAUCCUUUAACUGGGGCAGUUGUUGAUGUGAUUUAAUUUCAGUGAUAUUAGAAUUAGUGUUAUUUUAUAUUACGAUCCCUGAUUUUUAAGGAAAUGAAGAACCAACCCCAGGGAUAACAGCGCAAUCAAUUAGGAGAGUUCAUAUCGAUUAAUAGGAUUACGACCUCGAUGUCGACUUAGGUUGUUAGCUACGCGCAGAAGUGUAGCUUGUUUGUUUGUUCACCAAUUAAGAACCUACGUGAGUUGGGUUUAGAACGGGGAGACUUAGUUCGGAUUUUUUCUUUUGUAAAAAUAGAGAUUAGUACGAAAGGAUUAUGUUUAGGUAGUGAUAUAUAUAUAAAUUGGCAUAUAAAUGUAGUAUGUCUAGUGUGAGUUGUUAUGUUGUGUGUAAGAUUAUUUAGAUGUGUA
rnacentral:rRNA from 1 species